CAGUAGCCGCGGUAAUACGUGGGGUGCAAGCGUUAAUCGGAAUUACUGGGCGUAAAGCGUGCGUAGGCGGUUCGUUAAGUCUGUUGUGAAAGCCCCGGGCUCAACCUGGGAAUGGCAAUGGAUACUGGCGAGCUAGAGUGUGUCAGAGGAUGGUGGAAUUCCCGGUGUAGCGGUGAAAUGCGUAGAGAUCGGGAGGAACAUCAGUGGCGAAGGCGGCCAUCUGGGACAACACUGACGCUGAGGCACGAAAGCGUGGGGAGCAAACAGGAUUAGAUACCCCCGUAGUCCCUGUCUCUUAUAC
rnacentral:rRNA from 1 species